CCCGCCAGAAAAAAAGAUAUUUCCUCUCGUAUAUCCAUCGAGUCUUUCCGUGGCUGAGCCUCGCCGUAACACCAGGCUUCGCCAAUCCCUCCAAGCUAAGGAACUGGGAAAAAAAUCGAGUCUUCCCGUGGCCGAGCCGCCGUAACCUCAGGCUUCGCCAAUACAAGCUCGUAGGCGUCCUCCUCCUCCCCUCCAUCGGUUUCGCUUGACCAUCUUGCUGAAUUCUGCCGAUGGACGCAGUGGACGUUGGGGGUGACAUGAUGCGUAGCCGCAAGAGGAAGAGUGUCAUUCAAUCCUGUGACAGAACUGUGAAGAUGACCGUCCCAGUGUUCCCAAGCAACAAAAGGAUUUCUGUGUGCACGCUGUUGCUUCCCCAUGACAUGAUGUUGGAGGUUCUACUUCGGCUCCCAAUCAAAUCAAUUCUCCGUUUCCGGGCUGUCUGCCGCUCUUGGUGUGCACUCUUCUCCUCCAAGGGUUUCUGCAGCCUCCACAUGGCGGCCUCUAAGGUGCUGCUGCCAGCACAAAAGCUACUGGUUGUCUCACCCACAUCAAGAUUGAACUCCAGCGCAGUAUACGCAUGUUCGCCAUCAGGCCGCAGAGAUGAUUUACUCCUCACCUUUGACUCUGCCCGCAACGACUCUGUGGAAGUGGUGACACCCUCACCAAGCUAUGGACUCACCCUUCUAUUUGAUGCUGCUGCGCGAGCUUAUUAUGUUUGCAAUGCCGCCACAAGGGCAAUUACAAGACUGCCACCUUACCGUUAUCCUGUACGUGAUUUCACUGUUGGACUGGGAUUUGAUGACCAGACAUGGAACUACAAGGUGGUUAGGUUGAUCAAUGGCUAUAACCAUGAAAAGGAGGCGGUCAUUUGUGAUGUCUACACUCCGGGAGCUGAUUGUUGGAGGCCAGCAGCUGGACAUGUACCCUUCAGGCUGCUCCAGUUUGCAAUUUCUGCAGUUGAUCAUGCAGUGCUGGACAAAAUACCACCUGUGUUCGCCAAUGGAUUCCUGCACUGGCUGAUUUGUCCUUCUUUUAGCCUCAGAAGGCCAAGAGCUGCUAUCAUAUUGUUUUCUGUUGCGGAGGAGACCUUUGGAUCUGUCCGUUCUCCGCCAUUCUGGGGACCAAGAGAGAACAAGCGCCCCUGGUCCCAGUCAGAGGGAGAGCACCUGGCUGUGAUGGAUGACCAGGUGUGUAUUGUCCGGAACCUUCGCAAUAGAACCCCUAAUGGAAGCGCCCUGGAGAUUUGGGGACUGCUGGAUUAUGUCUCUGGAGAUUGGUCGCUCAAGCAUCGAAUCGAAAUGUUCGGGCACAUUGGAAGAGCAUUAAGUGACCCACAGGUUGUGAGGGUUAUUGGUUCUGUUGGCAAUUGCAGGACUGGGAGGAGGAUUGUGAUUACUACUAGCAAGCACUGGGUUCAUGACAAGUUUCAGAAAAAAGUUUACACAUAUGACCCUAGGUGUCAAGUUCUACAGUGCAUUCGUUCGGUCACCGAGACACACACCGCUGUUUCGCACUUGACUCCUGGUUCAAGAUUCAGCUUAUUUGAAGAGAGCCUUGCUCCAGUGCAUAAAAGCGAUGAAGACCUUGCCCUGCCAUCUACCCUGGCUAAAGCAACUAUAAAGAAGCUGCUACUCCAAUCUGAAUCAGACAUACUGCCCAUGUUUCAGUGUGAUCGGUGGGAUCUUGUUAGCGGUGGUGAGGGAGCGUAUGAAGGUUCCUCGACGAAUCUUCCUCGACGCCGUCUCAUCAUACCUGCGCCGGUGCUUCGCAAUCUCCAUGAUUUGAUCUAAGGACACCUUGAUAGAGAAGCUAUCUCUGAUGAAACACCUAGGUUGCACACACGAGUCAAUGACCUGAACUAGGAGAUGCAAUAAUGUAGUGUGGACAUUGUACGGCAUCUCUUCCUGUCUGUAGUUAACUUGCUCUGCCUUAUUUUGCUCGUUUGGCACCCGACGCAUUGAGGGAUCAAGCGUGAGGCUUAAAUUGGGGUGGACUCUGGAACUUUCUCUGCUGUGUAAUACAAGCAGAGAUACAACUUAUCUCUCCUGGACUGCUUUGCUGCUGUAACAGGUGUGUAAUUCUGAACCAAACUAGAGGUUGCCGAGGCUUAACUGCAGUCAGUACUAUCACUGAACUAAUAGUAGACAUGUGGAGCUGUGUGAGGACAGAGUGCUGCACAGUUAUGUUCCUGAUGUGAGGCAGCAUAAGUUUGUGAUGAGAUAUGAGCUCUGUGAUUUCUUGCAGUAACAAAGGAGAUUGAUGCAUGGUAUGACUGGCGAACAGCCCUGAUUCCAAAUGGAGAUCAGCCAAGUGUGUCUAUUAUCUGUUGCCUUAAGCAAUAAAGUGUCCGGGUAACAGGAAUCAUGCUGAUUUACUGAAUGUGGAUGGUGCUUUAUUUCAUCCAGGAGGAGAAGAUGCUUUUGCUGAUGCUCGGAAGCUUCAGUAACAGCCUGACGCUUGCGGGAGUUUUGUUCGGAGAAGCUCCUGCUUUUCUCUCUGUGAAUUUUGCAAGCUAUGUAGUCCCUCUUGUAUUGCCCUGCACACCCGUGGCUGUACGUCGGCUCAAAUAAGGCAACAUGAAUAAAGAACAAGUUGAGUAAACCAGCUUUUGCAAGCAUGAAUAAAUAAGCAUGCAGGGAUUCACUUGUGCUUUAGUGAAUCCCUGCAUUCAGUUCCAUGCUUUUGCUCAAGUGAGAUCUUGGAAGUUGGAGCACCGCGAGCAAUCCAACAAGUCAUGCAUGUAAACAGUUGCUGUGCUGUAAAACUUUUUGAUCACAGAAGGUAGCUCUGAAUCUUUCGAGACUUGAUUGUUGAACUCUGAAAUUUACACCCAAGUGACCAUACUCAUCCUGUAAAUCUUACUGGAGCGGAUUAACUUUUAUUUGCAUGUACUUAAAUGAGCAAAGUUAGUUCCAAUCGGAGCUGAAAAUUUCGACAA